rnacentral:misc_RNA from 1 species
AACGCACAUUGCGCCCCUUGGUAUUCCGAGGGGCAUGCCUGUUCGAGCGUCAUUACAACCCUCAAGCCUGGCUUGGUGUUGGGGCACUGCCCGUAGAAGGGCAGGCCCUGAAAUUCAGUGGCGAGCUCGCCAGGACCCCGAGCGCAGUAGUCAAACCCUCGCUCCGGAAGGCCCUGGCGGUGCCCUGCCGUUAAACCCCCAACUUCUGAAAAGUUGACCUCGGAUCAGGUAGGAAUACCCGCUGAACUUAA